AUGUUGGAGAAGUAUGAGAUGUCCAUGAUGUGUGAACUCAAAUUCUUCCUUGGGUUGCAAAUCAAGCAAUCUAAGGAGGGUACUUUUGUGUCACAAACGAAGUACACCAGGGAUCUCUUCAAGAAGUUCAACAUGCAAGAAAGCAAAGGUAUGAAUACCCCCAUGCCUACUAGUGGACAUAAUGACUUGACAAAGGAUGGAGAACCAGUUGAUCAAAAGGUUUACCGAUCUAUGAUUGGUUCCCUAUUAUAUCUUUGUGCUUCCCGCCUCGACAUUAUGUUGAGUGUGUGCAUGUCCGCAGGAUAUCAAGCGGCUCCUAAAGAAUGUCAUCUUAAGGCCGUUAAGAGGAUUGUGAGAUACUUGAUACAUACACCAAAUUUUGGCAUUUGGUAUCCUAAGAGGGCCUCUUUUGACCUUGUUGGCUAUUCCGACUCGGACUAUGCCGGUGACAAGGUUGAUAGAAAGUCCACUUCGGGUACUUGUCAAUUUCUUGGAUGA
rnacentral:rRNA from 1 species